GGAAGCAUCGGCAACUCUAAACACGUACUAGAAGGCUUUAUGACGAAAAGCAAACACGUUCAAUAGUGAAACUCAAUCGUGGAUUAUGCAUUUCUAAUAUCAACGCAGAGUGACCAUAAAGAUGUCAUCUAUUAGAGCAGCCUGGUAUACAUUUAUCCCCAAACUUUUUUCUAAGGCCAAUAACAUUGUAUGAUCGUACUCUCACUAUCCGCUUCUAUUGAUUGAAUGAAAGGCAUUUUUAGCAACAAAGGCUGUCAUCCCAAAUCCGCUUCUAUUUUUGCGUGUGUGCGCUCACUUGUUUUUAUUGAUAAAACUUUUUUGCUUUCUACAUCUGGAAACGGGGGAUAACAGCCAUUAAUGCUAUAAAUCCAAAUAUCUUACUUCUUUCAAGUUCAAGAUAUGCUCCGAGUAUUUUGAAGAAUUCAUUUAGUGUGUGCUCAUUUAUUAAAUAUAAGCAACUGAAACCUAAAGCUGUUCCAGUAAUUUUUUAGAAAAAUCCUUCGAAGAAAAAGAAAUCGGUAAGCUAUUCGCCGUCAAAAACAAAUGGAGACAAUAAAACAAAAUCGAAAUAGAAAAGGAUAAAAUACAUUGGAAAUCUGAACCACCUACAACAAUGUGUCAAAUUAAUAUUUCUGAGACACCUGUUGCAUAUAGCUUUGGUAAUGUGUAUGAUUCUGACAGUAAUUCUCACAGCAGUGAAAGACAUCAAAAAAUUUAAAAACUGAAGCCAAAAAGUUGAAGUGAAAGUUUACAAUGAACUGAUAGUUUUGAUAAAAUAUUUGAUGAAAAAUGAAGAUUUGAAAGACAUUAUGGUUUUGAAAUGUCAGUUUGAAGUUUUGUAUAUAUUUGUAAAGAAAGUAGCAAGA